GAUGAACGCUAGCUACAGGCUUAACACAUGCAAGUCGAGGGGAAACGAUAUUGGAAGCUUGCUUCCGAUAGGCGUCGACCGGCGCACGGGUGAGUAACGCGUAUCCAACCUGCCCGUCACUUGGGAAUAACCUUGCGAAAGUAAGACUAAUGCCCAAUGACAUUUAUAGAAGGCAUCUGAAAUGAAUUAAAGAUUUAUCGGUGAUGGAUGGGGAUGCGUCUGAUUAGCUUGUUGGCGGGGUAACGGCCCACCAAGGCGACGAUCAGUAGGGGUUCUGAGAGGAAGGUCCCCCCACAUUGGAACUGAGACACGGUCCAAACUCCUACGGGAGCAGCAGUGAGGAAUAUUGGUCAAUGGGGCGAGAGCCCUGAACCAGCCAAGUAGCGUGCAGGAUGACGGCCCUAUGGGUUGUAAACUGGCUUUUA
rnacentral:rRNA from 1 species